rnacentral:lncRNA from 1 species
UCCCUCACGGGUGGUUCUCCUCUGUGGCCAGGUAUGACGCUGCACAGAGCCCUGGAGUGGGUCUCUUCCCCGCCCCGCAGCCAGUUUCACUGGUUGCCAAUGAAAACCCAGGUAAUGGGAGGGUGGACAGGGCUUGCCCCCUCCCCAUUCCUAUUCCCACCAACGCAGGCUGCACUCUUGGGGGUCUUGAGGGUGGGGCAUUGCGCCCUCCCCCCCACUGGUUUUUCUGCUCUGUGCCCAGGUAUAAAGCUGCACAGAGCCCUGGAGUGGACCUUCUGCACCCCCCGCCAGCCAGUUCCACUGAUUGGCAUUGCAAACUGAGGUAAGCGGAGGGUGGGGAGGGCUUGACCCCUCCCCAUUCGUAUCGUUGGCAACACACACUGCAGCUGACACCCGUGGGGGUCCUCUGCGUGGGCAAUUGGGUCCUUCCUUCCUUUCUCCUGCCUCCCUAAUCUUUCUCCCUGUGCACCCAGGGACAGACCUGCAUUAUGCCCUGGAUUCCGCUUCCUGCCCCCCCCAGACAGUAACAGUACUUUGCAAUGGAAACCGAGGUAAGCGAAGGGUGGGCAGGGCUUGCCCCCUCCCCAUUCGUAUCCGUGGCAACGCAGGCUGCAGCCGACAGCCUUGUGGGUCCUGUGCGUGGGGCAUCAGCCCUUCCCCUCCUGCCGGGAUUUUUUGUCUGUGCCCAGAUAUCGAGCUCCUCAGAGCCCUGGAGUGGGUCUCCUGCAGCCCCCCCGGCAGCCAGUUCCACUGGUUUACAUUGGAAACCGCGGGACAGACCUGCAUUAUGCCCUGGAUUGCGCUUCCUGCCCCCCCCGACAGUUCCAGUCAUUUGCAAUGGAAACCGAGGUAAGCGGAGNGUGGGGAGGCCUUGCNCCCUCCCCAUUCGUAUCCUUGGCAACGCAGGCUGCAGCCGACAGCCUUCUGGGACCUCUGGGUGCAAGGUUAGACCCUUCCCUGCUUUCUCCCCCAUUUUUGAUCCGGUGCACCCCGAUACAGACCUGCAUGUCGCUCUGGAGUGGGCCUCCUGCCCCCCCUGCCAGCCAGUCCCACUGGUUUGCAUUGGAAACCAAGGUAAGUGGAGGGGGGGGAGGGCUUGCUCCCUCCCCAUUCCUAUUCCCACCAACACAGGCUGCACUCUUGGGGGUCCCGUGGGUGCGGGAUUCGGCCCUUCUCCCCUCCCUCACCCAUUUUUCUCCGUGUACACCCAGGUAUGCACCUGUAUGACGAUCUGCAGGGGGCCUCUUGCCCCCCCAUCAGCCAGUUCCACAGGUUUGCUACGAAAAGUCAGGUGACCUGAGGAUGGGGAGGGCUUCUCUCCUACCUUUUCCUAGUCCCAGCAAUGCAGGCUGCACUCUUAGAUGACCUGUGGGUGGGGGAUGGACCCUGUUCUCCUCCCUCACCCGUUUUUUUCUCUGUGCCCGACUAUGCAGCUACACGGAGCCCGGGAGUCGGCCACCUGCGCCCCCUGCCCCCCAGUUCCUCUAGUUUGCCCUGCAAACCCAGGUAAGCAGAGGGCGAGGUGGCCCUCCCCAUUCAGAUUCUUGGCAAGGUAGGCUGCAGCCAACAGUCUUGGGGGUCCUGUGGAUGCAGGAUCGGGCCUUUCUCUCCUCCCUCCUCUGUUUUUUCUCCUGUGCGCCCAGGUACAGACCUGCAUUAUGUCCUGGAGUGCGCAUCCUCACCCCCACUGGGUUUUCUCCUCUGUGCUCUNGUGUGGAGCUGCACAGAGCUCUGCAGUGGGCUUUCUACNCCCCCACCAUCCAUUUACACUGGUUUGCAUUCGAAACUGAUCUAAGCGGAGGGUGUGGAGGGCUGGCCACUCCCCAAUCCUGCUCCGGACAGCGCAGGCUGCACUCUUGGACGUUGUGUGGCUGGAGGAUAGGCCCUUCACCCCCCCACACCGGUUUUUCCCCAUCUGCACUCAGCUACGGACCGGCANGUCACCCUGGAGUGGGUUUCCUGUACCCCCCCAUCCGCCAGUUCCACUGGUUUGCAUUGGAAACCGAAGUAACUGGAGGGAGAGAGCAGCUUGAACCGUUCUCAUUCCUUUUUCUGCGAAUUUCAGAUGCAGCUUUGGGGAUUCUCUGGGUUGGGGAUAGGUAUUUCCCCUUUCGUCACUGGUUUUUCGCCUCUGUGUACAGGUAUGGAAUUGCACAGAGCCCUGGACUGGGCCUCCUGCGCCCCUCGACAACCAGUUCCACAUGAAAGGGUGGUUGGGCCCGUGAGUGGAGGUGGGAGGUCAGGUCAGCAGUCGGCGCUCUCCCUGGGGAUUCCUGUCUAGCCUUAGGAAUAGGG